AUGUCUCUAAACCGCUGUCAGACGUGGCUCCGGCUCCUCAGGGCCUCGCAAGAGUCACACCUGCCUGGUCACCCUGGGGCUGCUAAGGAAACCUCACAACGGGUCCUCCUUGACCCUGCACUCCUCACUCCUCACAGAGAAUUGCUACAAUCCCAAAACGCUCGCCCCGCAGGGUCCAAACGUCAGUGCUGACCAGCCUGUCGCCCAGGUCCUCCCCGUACACCCUGCCUGCCGCCACACAUGCCUGAGCAUCCUCCAUCUUCCAGCAUGGCAGCAAUGGCGCUGCGCGGCCUCGCCAGGCCUGCGAGGUCCUCGGCCCAGAGCAGCAGGAAGGCCCCUCUGCCGAGCGUCUGCCGCCUGCUCUGAGGCGGUUCAGUCACUGCUUGUUGACAUCGUCAUGGCAAUUGCACUCAUGUGGACUGGGACCGUGCGAGCUGCCAUGUGGGCUAGUUGGGUGCCAGGACAAUGAAAUACUCCAGCACGUGUGGCUGACGAAUUUGCUUCUACAGAAAUAACAGCUGGGGACAACUGCGGUGAUGAUAUAAAAACCUUCCCAUAACAUGUAAGAAAAGCUGACGAGGCUGGUGAUGUUCAGCCUUUGUCAAUAAAACAGUCAUGUGCGGAUCCUU